UAAUAUCUGCAUGAUUUGUACUUGUAAACUAUCUUCCUAUAAUGAUUAAUAAAUUUAUAUUUGUGAUUUUUCUUCCGAGAUUGCAUUAUGAAGUUAUCAUCUUAGGGGCUAUCAAACUGAUCUACAAAAAUCCAUUCAUAAACUGCCUGGAAAUUUUCCUUCACGAAAUUUCAAUAAAUUACAAAAACAACUUGUUAAUAUUGCCCACUUUUCGAAUUAUAUCGAUUGAUGUCUGGAGAGAGGAAAUGAUAAGGGACAUAUCAAAUUUCUCGGUAAAAGACUAAUCUAUUCUACAUUUUCUUUCACAGCGCUUUCAACACCUUAUCACAUGGUCGCAGCUUAUGCACGAUGCAUAAGCUUCACAGUCGGUUUAUCUCUCAAAAAUCACUUUUCUGUUUAACUUUCCCACUUAAAACACCUUGUGCGUCAUUUUUCACACACUUUUGAUAUUUUUUUUCUUCUACAACUUUUAUCACUACAUUCUCUCACGUAUUCAGCUGCACAAUUCCCGCCCCAAAACCUUUGAUAACACGAGAAAAGAGCAUUUUCUGCGAACUUAUUUUAUUUUAGCACCUCGGAAGAGCUUUUUGAUGGCUCAUUGGGAAUGAGUUUCUUUUGGUGGAAAUGCCAUCGUGACGAAUUUCCCUAAGCAAUAAAUUUUAUGCUGUGAGAUAGUGUGAGGAGAUGAAUAAAUAGCUGAUCAACACCCAUUUAUUUACCAUUUGUUCAAUUUCGCCACUUUCCGGAUGAAUCAUUGCAUUCUGCUUAACUUUUGCAAUGAAACUCUCUCUCUCUCUCUAUCUCUCCAACACUGCCUUAUAAUUGUGCCACGGUUUUAUCACCCAGUAAAAAUUUUCACUGAUAAAACUCCUUUUGUACUUUUAUAUAUAUAUAUUAUUCUUGUCUCUAAAUUUACCAGCGAUCUACACGUCGUGCGCCUUCUCUUGAGACUCAACCACUUUGAAAAACUUUACACUUGUUACACUCCUCAAUUUUUCCACACAACUCUGACAAUAAUUUUCUUCUUUUUUUUUCAAAGCAUAAUUGUGUGUUGUGUCUGAAUUUAUGUGGAAAGAGAAAUAAAGAUGAAAUUUCAUACGUGAUUUUUUUCUACAAUUCUCGCUAAAUUUCUCAAAAAGUUAGAUCAAGAACAUGGGUAAAAAAAAGUGCCACUAAAACUCAAGAACUUAUGGUGUGUCUGUUUCACUUGCGCGCCUCACUUUUCUUCCCAAAAAAUUCGCGUAUUCAGUCCACUCAAUGUAAAUAUCGCGACAUGACUAAGCAUUUAAAAAUAGUAAACACCAAACGAUAAUGCAAAGAGGCCCCAACUCUUUCCAAUUCUCACACAUUUGCGCGCGCGUUCGCUCGCCCAAGAGAGCCUCCUCAAAAUUCAACAUUAUAUUCCAUCGAUCAUCAUCAUCAUCGACGUCAGGCCAACUAAUACACCCUUAUACCUCAUCAAGCCGGCGCGAUCUUGUGUUGCUCGAGUCACACGUUUUAUCAAUAUCAAUCGUCAUUCGGGGCUCAAUUGUUAGACACCGACGAAGCCCAGUAACAUUGUAUGCCUCUAACGCGAAUUCCAAUGAUGACUGAAACAGAGAGAGCAUCAGCAAAUCUUCCUAAUAAAGCUUAUACACGAUAGAAAGAGACAACAAAUUGCUGAUAACGAUUAUAUUUCUUUUUUUCCACAGAAAUCUGAAUGUGGUUGCGGAAAAUCCAAUGAAUGUAUUUGUAUCAAAAACCCACCUAAUCAGCAAAAAUUACCUCAAGUACCGAGAAAGUGUUCAAAAUGAAGAACAAAGAGCAAUAUAAAAUAUAUAUUUGUAAUUAUACUUAGCAGCUGUGCUAUGAAACACCAUCAAGCAUAAGCUGCAAUGCUAAGGGAUCAUUUGCAAUUAUCGUAAUUUGCGGAUUGAAGAAAUCAGCAGAGCAGACAAGGCAACCAUCGUCGGCACCAAUUCCCCUCGCUCGACAUUGUUGCACAAAAUGCAUUUUAACAUCACGUCCAAUCACAAGCGCACAAUUUUCCAUUAAAUAGCUCUAUAUAGCGAGGGAUUGCUUAUAGAAAAUUAUCAAUACAGCUCAAUUUUUUUUAAAGUAAAGUUGCGUCAAAUGAUUAAUUUUGAAUAGAUCCGAGGUGUGUGUACUGGUAUAUUAAAAAAUAUGUAUUUCAACACUUUAAAAUGAAUAUGUUUUUGAUUGUAUUAAUACUGAUUGUACUAUUUAAAAAAAACUAUUUACUUAGAUCGUUAAGUUAUUAAGAAUCUUGAUUUACUCAUCUGAAUAGUCUUAAUAUUAACGGAAAGAGCUUUUAAGAGCAUCAUAAAUUCGACCGAUCACCGUUAAUGGCUCUAUAAAUAGUUAUAGAGUAAAAUUUAUAAUUCAUACUUUAUUAAUCUAGUAAUUAUGCAAUUCUAAAGUAGGGGAGACUGGGGCAAAAUUUGUCAAUUCUAAAAUUUUAAAAUUCGAUAUCUUCCAAGAAAGAGACCGAGGCUUCAAUUUUGUUUCAUAUAUUGCCUUCGUGAACCUCAAUGUACGUCAAAGGUUAUAACCCUUUAAGGACGAUUGGAACACCGGUAUCCCAUAAAGAAAAUAAUUUUUCCUGACUACAUAAAGUUAUUUUUUCCUUAUGUUUGUACGCAAUUGCAAAAUAGAAGGUUGAA